CGGGACACGUGGUAUCCUGUCUGAAUAUGGGGGGACCAUCCUCCAAGGCUAAAUACUCCUGACUGACCGAUAGUGAACCAGUACCGUGAGGGAAAGGCGAAAAGAACCCCGGCGAGGGGAGUGAAAAAGAACCUGAAACCGUGUACGUACAAGCAGUGGGAGCACGCUUAGGCGUGUGACUGCGUACCUUUUGUAUAAUGGGUCAGCGACUUAUAUUCUGUAGCAAGGUUAACCGAAUAGGGGAGCCGAAGGGAAACCGAGUCUUAACUGGGCGUUAAGUUGCAGGGUAUAGACCCGAAACCCGGUGAUCUAGCCAUGGGCAGGUUGAAGGUUGGGUAACACUAACUGGAGGACCGAACCGACUAAUGUUGAAAAAUUAGCGGAUGACUUGUGGCUGGGGGUGAAAGGCCAAUCAAACCGGGAGAUAGCUGGUUCUCCCCGAAAGCUAUUUAGGUAGCGCCUCGUGAAUUCAUCUCCGGGGGUAGAGCACUGUUUCGGCAAGGGGGUCAUCCCGACUUACCAACCCGAUGCAAACUGCGAAUACCGGAGAAUGUUAUCACGGGAGACACACGGCGGGUGCUAACGUCCGUCGUGAAGAGGGAAACAACCCAGACCGCCAGCUAAGGUCCCAAAGUCAUGGUUAAGUGGGAAACGAUGUGGGAAGGCCCAGACAGCCAGGAUGUUGGCUUAGAAGCAGCCAUCAUUUAAAGAAAGCGUAAUAGCUCACUGGUCGAGUCGGCCUGCGCGGAAGAUGUAACGGGGCUAAACCAUGCACCGAAGCUGCGGCAGCGACGCUGAUGCGUUGUUGGGUAGGGGAGCGUUCUGUAAGCCUGUGAAGGUGUGCUGUGAGGCAUGCUGGAGGUAUCAGAAGUGCGAAUGCUGACAUAAGUAACGAUAAAGCGGGUGAAAAGCCCGCUCGCCGGAAGACCAAGGGUUCCUGUCCAACGUUAAUCGGGGCAGGGUGAGUCGACCCCUAAGGCGAGGCCGAAAGGCGUAGUCGAUGGGAAACAGGUUAAUAUUCCUGUACUUGGUGUUACUGCGAAGGGGGGACGGAGAAGGCUAUGUUGGCCGGGCGACGGUUGUCCCGGUUUAAGCGUGUAGGCUGGUUUUCCAGGCAAAUCCGGAAAAUCAAGGCUG
rnacentral:rRNA from 1 species